rnacentral:lncRNA from 1 species
UCUAUUUCAUUAUAAAAAUAUAAAAGUCUUUUAUUCUUCAUGAUGGCUUGGAAAAUCUCAUAGACUAACCUCUCAUACAUCUCUUACUAAGUACACUUCACCUUAUGGAUUAAUCUAUAUUGACUUACGGGGCCCCUGCACCCUUUACAUAUACUAAUGGUUUUCCUUUAUUUUUAUCUUUGUCGUUAUUUAAUAUUUAUUUCGCAUGUUUAAGUCUGCUGGUGCACGAAGUGAUAAAGAUGAACAAAACA